rnacentral:rRNA from 1 species
GGACCCGCACAAGUAGUGGAGCAUGUGGUUUAAUUCGAAGAUACGCGCAGAACCUUACCAACACUUGACAUGUUCGUCGCGACUCUAAGAGAUUAGAGUUUUCGGUUCGGCCGGACGAAACACAGGUGCUGCAUGGCUGUCGUCAGCUCGUGUCGUGAGAUGUUGGGUUAAGUCCCGCAACGAGCGCAACCCUCACUUUUAGUUGCCAUCAUUUAGUUGGGCACUCUGAAAGAACUGCCAGUGAUAAGCUGGAGGAAGGUGGGGAUGACGUCAAGUCCUCAUGGCCCCUUACGUGUUGGGCUACACACGUGCUACAAUGGUAAUCUACAACAGGAAAGCAAAAACUGCAGAAGUUAAC